rnacentral:rRNA from 1 species
UUUAUUUGAGAGUUUGAUCCUGGCUCAGGAUGAACGCUGGCGGCGUGCCUAACACAUGCAAGUCGAGCGAUUCUCUUCGGAGAAGAGCGGCGGACGGGUGAGUAACGCGUGGGUAACCUGCCCUGUACACACGGAUAACAUACCGAAAGGUAUGCUAAUACGAGAUAAAGUGCUAUGAAGACAUCUUCGAAGCACCAAAGCUUUAGCGGUACAGGAUGGACCCGCGUCUGAUUAGCUAGUUGGUAAGGUAACGGCUUACCAAGGCGACGAUCAGUAGCCGACCUGAGAGGGUGAUCGGCCACAUUGG